AUUAUAAAAAUUGUAUAAUUAAGAAGUCAGAGUAGUAUUAGUUAAGGUCUUGAAACUCAAAAAAUUUGGCGGUAUUUUAGUCUAUUUAGAGGAACCUGUAGUAUAAUCGAUAAUCCACGAUGGACCUCACUUAAUUUUGUUUUUCAGUUUGUAUACCGCUGUUAUUUGAAGAUUUUAUAAGAAUAUUAAUUUUCAGAAUUUUUAAUUAAAAAAUAUAUCAGGUCAAGGUGCAGCUUAUGRUUAAGAAUUUAUGGGUUACAAUAAAAUUAUUUAUACGAAUAAAAAUAUGAAAUUAUUUUUUGAAGGUGGAUUUAAUAGUAAAUUUUUAAAGAUAAAAGAAUUGAUUUUAGCUCUAAAAUAUGCACACAUCGCCCGUCGCUCUUGUUAUUAAUAUAAGAUAAGUCGUAACAUAGUAGAUGUACUGGAAAGUGUAUCUAGAAUGACAAUUUAAAGCUUUUUUAGCAAAGCAUUUCACUUACACUGAAAAGAUUAUUGUGCAAAUCAAUAUAAAUUGAUAAUAUAUAAUUACUAAUAUUUUUUUUUAUAUUUUUGUUAUUAAAAAUAAUUAUUUUAUUUUGUUUUAGUAUUUUAUAUAAAACUAAUAAUUUUAGUGAUAGUUUAUUAUGUAUUGUGAAAGAAUUUUGAAAUAAUUGAAAAAUAUAUAAUUAAAAAGAAAAAUUAAUUUU
rnacentral:rRNA from 1 species